UAGGAUUGUGCCAAGUCAAACUUUCUUAAUUUUGACCAAGUCUGGAAAAAUCUAUAAACAUCUACAAUAUCAAGUAUAUAUACUAUGAAAAUAUAUUUCAUAAUGAGUUUCUUGACGGAAAUUUGGCGUUGUAGAUGUUAAUUUGUUUUUAUAUAAACUUGGUCAUACGGUAAAGUAGUUUGACUUCGAAGAAAUCUAA
rnacentral:pre_miRNA from 1 species